rnacentral:lncRNA from 1 species
ACACCCUAAAUAUUUCCAGCCGUCACACCUAAAUACCCAACCCCCUCUCUUCACCUUCCUCACACCACCCCACUCCCAAACAACCCCACUGUCCCUCCCGUUCACCCCCUCAACUAGCCCGUCUAACCACCCCACUCCACAGCAGCUCACCAUCGUUAAACUACCAGUCCAGUCGCCAACUUCCACGACCAUUCCUCCCCCUCAACGAACAGUUCUGUUCCCUGGCACCUCCGAGCUCCAACCACUGGUGCUGCUUUUCCGUCUCCAGCAGUAGCAGUCCGCCUUCCUCAACGUCGAACCAGCUUCGACCUCACCUGCCUCACGUCCCUCCAGUUCGCCUGAACCUGCCCGUCGCCUUCAUGAACGACCAACGUCCAAAUUACCAUGCUUCUCCGCAAACUUCACCAAAAUGCUUCAGAAAACUCGACAAAGAGUUUCAAGGUUAUGUUUCUGUCCAGGCUUCGUUCUAGGCCAUGUCCUGUUCGUGUCCUUGAUCCUGUUGUAGUUGUCCGGUUUCAUUAUUUUCUUAGCUCAAUGGUCAUGGUUGUUGUACAGUGUUUGGAUCGAGUUUCUUUUGGUUAAUAUAUUGAAGAUAGUAUCUCCAUCGGCGUCGUGGUUAUGAUCUGGUUAGUUGUUUUAAGUUUUAUUUCUGUCCGUAUUUUGCUUGAUAUUCUCGGAUCUGAAAUAGGUAUAUGUUUGAUUCUUUUCUUGCUCGUUGUUUAUCAUUUCGUGAUUAUUUCUUCAGUUUGUUUUUAUUCAUCUAAAAGAAUUUAGUUUUAAUAAAGAAGUUUUUUAGUUUAAUCACUUGAAUCUUUAUCGUGAUUGUGAUGUUGUUAGAUUUAAUUUGAAGUUUAAUUGAGUAUUGAGUUUAGUGAGUUUAAUCUGUUUAAAUCUAAAUUUGGAUCUGACUUAGAAAUUUGAAUUUGUUUGUUUUGAAUUAUUAAGUUUAAUUUUGAAUAUGAGUUUAGUGAUUUGAAUUUACUUGUUUGUUAUUGUUGUUGAAUCCGAAAGUAUGUUUGUUGUAAAAUUUUUUUUAGUCAAAAUAAAUUUUAGUUGUUUCUUUGUUGUUUAUCAUAUAGUUUGAAGUUGUUGGUUGAAUUUGAUUAAGAAUUGGUUUAGCUUCUAUAUUUUGGUUAAUUGAUUUAGGGAAAUUGGUUAUAGCUGAUACGUUCUUGGUGCAGAUUGAAAUGGAUGAGGGUACAAUGGUAAUUUUAGUAAUUUGAGGGGGAUAUUUUUGGAAUUGAAAAAUAAAGAAUUGCUUAAAAAUAUAGUGGACGACAUUAUUAUAUAAAGUAAAAAGAGGGGACAAGACAUGUGGAGAGCAUAAUGAUUAAAGUAAAAAGAGAGUGGAUUGUGAGGUCCACGUUUGACUGCUUUUGCUGAUUGAGAAUUAGAAAUAGUAGGGUAAUAAUAAAAUGGGCAGUAAUAAUAGUUAAAAGAAUAGGAGAAAGUGUCUUGCCUUUUGGGGUAUAUAAUGGCAGUCAUUUAACACUUAGAGGGAGGAAUUGGAGAGAAAAAUUUAGACUGGGAAUGGUGAGAAAAUAUUUCAGUACUAGAGGGAAGAAAGAAAAAAGACUUUUAAAUCUUAAGAAUUUUUGAGUGUUUGAAAGUUAGGAAUUAAACGAAAAAUCUGUUCUUCUUCACUGUUAACAAUUAGCAUCAACUGCUAUUGUUCAUUAAAGUUUCAAGCUUCUUUUUCUCGAAUGUCAAAAAUCAGGAGUUAUUUUUUGGCAACUGGUUUCCUUUCUUGGUUGCAAUCUCCUGGGUUUUCUGCUAACCCCGCUGUCACUGGGCUACUCCUGUGUCGUAGAACUGCUGUUGCUGUGUGUAUGCUGCUAUUGCUUCCUACUGACCUUCCUCUUCUUUGUAUUCCAAUACCAGGUACACCACUUUGAAUCAUUUUGACGUCCACCUUGAAGAUGAAAUGAAAUGGAAGAAAUUUAUGUAUUUAGUUAUAGUAUACUUUAUUUUAGUUAAGACCACUUUGAAUCAUUUUGAUUUACGCCUUGAAGACGAAAUGAAAUGGCA